rnacentral:rRNA from 1 species
UACGUAGGGGGCAAGCGUUGUCCGGAAUUAUUGGGCGUAAAGAGCGUGUAGGCGGUUCGGUAAGUCUGCUGUGAAAUCCUGGGGCUCAACCCCGGGCGUGCAGCGGAUACUGCAGUGCUAGAAUCUUGGAGAGGCGAGUGGAAUUCCGAGUGUAGAGGUGAAAUUCGUAGAUAUUCGGAAGAACACCAGUGGCGAAGGCGACUCGCUGGACAAGUAUUGACGCUGAGGUGCGAAAGCGUGGGGAGCAAACAGG